UGGCGUAAACAAAGGGAAGCGAAGUGGCGACAUGGAGCAAAUCCCAAAAAUAACGUCCCAGUUCGGAUUGUAGUCUGCAACCCGACUACAUGAAGCCGGAAUCGCUAGUAAUCGCGGAUCAGAAUGCCGCGGUGAAUACGUUCCCGGGUCUUGUACACACCGCCCGUCACACCAUGGGAGUUGGAAAUGCCCGAAGUCAGUGGCCCAACCGGAAGGGGGGAGCUGCCGAAGGCAGGUUCGAUGACUGGGGUGAAGUCGUAACAAGGUACC
rnacentral:rRNA from 1 species